rnacentral:misc_RNA from 1 species
GAUGAAGAACGUAGCGAAAUGCGAUAAGUAAUGUGAAUUGCAGAAUUCAGUGAAUCAUCGAAUUUUUGAACGCACCUUGCGCCCUUUGGCUACUCCGAAGGGCAUGCCUGUUUGAGUAUCAUGAACACCUCAACUUUUCACGGCUUGCCGUGAUGAGUUUGGACUUUGGGGGUCUUGCUGGCCUACGAGCCAGCUCCUCUCAAAUGUAUUAGCUUGCCGGUGUUUGGUGGCAUCACAGGUGUGAUAACUAUCUACGCUUGUGGUUUUCCACUAGGUAACCUUCAGCAAUGGAGGAUCACCGGAGCUCACAAAUGUCUCUCCUUGCCAAGGACAGAUUUUGACCAUUUGAUCUCAAAUCAGGUAGGACUACCCGCUGAACUUAAGCAUAUCAAUAAGCGGAGGA